UACGGGGGGGGCAAGCGUUGUUCGGAAUUACUGGGCGUAAAGGGCUCGUAGGCGGCCUUCUAAGUCAGACGUGAAAUCCCCCGGCUUAACCUGGGAACGGCCGCGGAUACUAGGCACCUCGAGGGGGGUAGGGGCGUGCGGAAGCACUGAGGUGGAGCGGUGAAAUGGCGUUGAGUAUCUAGUGGAACUCCGGUGGCGAAAGCGGCGCGCUGGACCCCUUCUGACGCUGACGGCGCGAAAGCCA
rnacentral:rRNA from 1 species